CAGACUUCAAUUAAUCAUCACCGCCUCAGCUUGCAAAAUAACUUUCCAAUGCUUUUUCGAGGUCUUAGAAACUGAAACUAUCAGUCCCUUUUGAAUAGCACAUUACCGCCAUCCUCCAGUGGUAUUGUGAGAACCACUAAAAAUUUAUCCGAUGGCAUAGACAAGUGAGGUGGAAAGCGAGGCGGGAAGCCAACGUUUUUGUGAAAAAAGGUGAUCAUAGAAAGUGCAUGGACCAUAUUCAAAGCUGGAGGAUUUUCUUUGAAUCCAGAUCAAAUCAAAGUCGUAGAGAUAUCAAUGCUUCCGGCUCUAACAAGGUGAAUUUUGUGGAUAUAAACAGACU